GCAAGUCGAACGGUAACAGAAGAGCUUGCUCUUGCUGACGAGUGGCGAACGGGUGCGUAACGCGUAUACAACUUACCUUUAACUGGGGGAUAGCCCAUGGAAACGUGGAUUAAUACCGCAUAACAUUGUAGAUUCGCAUGUUUUUACAAUUAAAACUUCGGUGGUUAAAGAUGGGUAUGCGUGACAUUAGCUAGUUGGUGAGGUAACUGCUCACCAAGGCUACGAUGUCUAGGGGGCCUAAGAGGGCGAAC
rnacentral:rRNA from 1 species